rnacentral:pre_miRNA from 1 species
AAUUAAAAAUUUCAUCUAUUUAUAAUGUUAAAAACUAGUGUGACUAACAAAAUAACUAGACAGGGACACGUAGCGUGACACAUGUACUUUGUGUUGAUUUUUAGGGACUAAUUUUUAAUAGUAAAAAUAAAUAAAAAUUUUAACA